GGAGCACUAGCUCAGUCGGUAGAGCACCUGACUUUUAAUCAGGUUGUCGGGGGUUCGAAUCCCCCGUGCUUCAC
rnacentral:tRNA from 2 species